UGGGGAAUAUUGCACAAUGGGCGCAAGCCUGAUGCAGCCAUGCCGCGUGUGUGAAGAAGGCCUUCGGGUUGUAAAGCACUUUCAGCGAGGAGGAAGGGUUCAGUGUUAAUAGCACUGUUCAUUGACGUUACUCGCAGAAGAAGCACCGGCUAACUCCGUGCCAGCAGCCGCGGUAAUACGGAGGGUGCAAGCGUUAAUCGGAAUUACUGGGCGUAAAGCGCACGCAGGCGGUUUGUUAAGUCAGAUGUGAAAUCCCGCGCUUAACGUGGGAACUGC
rnacentral:rRNA from 1 species